UCCUGGGAUAGCUCAGUCGGUAGAGCAUGAGAUUCUUAAUCUCAGGGUAGUGGGUUUAAGCCUCGCACUAGGCA